rnacentral:rRNA from 1 species
CCAUAACUGACGCUGAGAAGCGAAAGCAUGGGGAGCGAACAGGAUUAGAUACCCUGGUAGUCCAUGCCGUAAACGUUGGGCACUAGGUGUGGGGCUCAUUCCACGAGUUCCGUGCCGCAGCUAACGCAUUAAGUGCCCCGCCUGGGGAGUACGGCCGCAAGGCUAAAACUCAAAGGAAUUGACGGGGGCCCGCACAAGCGGCGGAGCAUGCGGAUUAAUUCGAUGCAACGCGAAGAACCUUACCAAGGCUUGACAUAUACCGGAAUCAUUCAGAGAUGGGUGCGCCGCAAGGUCGGUAUACAGGUGGUGCAUGGUUGUCGUCAGCUCGUGUCGUGAGAUGUUGGGUUAAGUCCCGCAACGAGCGCAACCCUCGUUCUAUGUUGCCAGCACGUGAUGGUGGGGACUCAUAGGAGACUGCCGGGGUCAACUCGGAGGAAGGUGGGGAUGACGUCAAAUCAUCAUGCCCCUUACGUCUUGGGCUUCACGCAUGCUACAAUGGCCAGUACAAAGGGCUGCGAUACCGUAAGGUGGAGCGAAUCCCAAAAAACUGGUCUCAGUUCGGAUUGGGGUCUGCAACUCGACCCCAUGAAGUCGGAGUCGCUAGUAAUCGCAGAUCAGCAACGCUGCGGUGAAUACGUUCCCGGGCCUUGUACACACCGCCCGUCAAGUCACGAAAGUCGGUAACACCCGAAGCCGGUGGCCCAACCCCUUGUGGGAGGGAGCUGUCGAAGGUGGGACUGGUGAUUGGGACUAAGUCGUAACAAGGUAACC